GCUUUGAUUUUCAUUUUUUAUUUACGAUAACAAAAAAUAAAAUAAGUAAGAGACAGAAACGAAAAAAGGUCCGUUUUUUCGUUUUCUGAGACCGGAAGUGGUCAUCAGCAAGGGUGGAGCCAAACAGAGUACGGUGCACAGACUGUAAAUAAAUGUUUUGUUUUUUUUAGUUUUCAUGGUCAAAAUGAAAGAUCAAGUGGCCGAUCUUAAAAUAAAUCAAUAUCGAUUUUUUUAUUUAUUAAGUUUUGCGACGCAAGGGGGCGUGGUAACUUGAUUGACAGUUUGUCUGGAAUGACUGACAGUCUGGAGGAUGUAGCCGAGACUCUGCUCUCCUGGAUUGGAUUAAUUCUGAUAUGGUUACUGGUGGUUUAUCGGUGAAGAAGUAGAACCUUUUCCUCAGACACUUUUCCUGCCUGUUGGCUUGUUUUAACCAUUUUGCUCCCUUCGCCGGAUUCUACCAGCAGACACUGAAAGUUCGAGAAUCGAGAAGAAAAGCCAUCUGUGGGAUUUUUACCAAGUUUGAUGACCAACUUUGGAGCUUGUCCAGAUUUCUGCUGAUACCAGACUACUCUACUAUCUCCAUCUGACCAAGAAUCAACUUUUGGGUUGAUGUUACAGGUCAGAGUGACUGUGGAUCCAAGUGAAGAUGUUUUUGCUGCAGGCUGAGUCACAGUCAGUUGACCACUAGAACCUGGAAAAAAAAAAAAACAUUGUCAGAAAUUAGACAAAAGUAUUGAAUACCUUUAGGUUGUUGUUUGUGGUCAUCGGUGUUGAAAUGGUUCAGAUAAAAGUAUUUCAACAGAAAAUGUGAUGUUGAAAUGAGUCCUGACCUUGGAAGCAGCAGCAGAGCAGCGUCCAGAUGAGGAUGGAGAUGAGAGUCAUGGUGGUUGUGCUUUCUGCUGUGUUGACUGACAGAUGUGAGUCCUGCAGUGUUGAACUCACAGGACUAUAAACCUUCUCACUUCACAUCAGCUGAUGAUGCAAAGCCUCCUCUCUAUGGAAAUGAUUUGUCUGCUGUCAACACACUGGAGGCAACGUGGGACACAAGAUGAGGAGAAACACUGUUUGGAUUUACACUAAAUAUCAUCUCAAUGAAACAGAGGAAAGUAUUUUCAUGUUAAAAGUGAAGAUGAGGAUUUAUGGAUAAGUUUUGUCCUCUUUGGUUGGUAUGACAUGUUUGUAUUCUGAUGUUAGUUUCAUCAGGAAAAAAUAUAAUUUACCAAAUUGUCUUUGAAAUAAUUAUGAUUCAAAUCAUCUUGAACUAUUAUCUACGUGUCAGUGUAAUUAAAUUGGGAAGACAUGUAUUUUUUUUACAAUCAGAGAGUAAUUGUGUCUCUGUCCGUUAUGGAAAAGUGAAACUUGAUUCAAAUCUGAAAAAAGCAAAAAUAUAUCUUGUUAAUUUUAUAAUCUAUACCUUCAAAUAACUUUGUAGAUUCAUCUAAGUCAUUUUAUGUGGUGUUAUUUGAGUAUUUUCAGUAGUUUGAUGGUUGUUCUCAGUGCAGGAGGUUUUUGUACGGCCACUCAAUGAGUUUGUAUCACUGUGGUACACUUUUGGUGGAGGAACCAAACUCGUCGUUGACUUGGGUGUGGUGCGCCCCACCCUGACCGUCCUCCCCCCCUCCACACAGGAGGUGCAGCAGAGCAGUGCCACACUGGUGUGUCUGGCCAGCGGGGGCUUCCCCUCAGCCUGGAGGCUGGGCUGGAAGGUGGGGGGCAGCAGCAGG